rnacentral:lncRNA from 1 species
UGCCUAUGGGUUCUCCUCGGUUGGAUUGUUCAUCCUUCUUCGCCGGUGGUGUGCUCGUCCAUUGCAAUAGCCUUCGUGCGCUGGAUGAACACUGCCUGUUGAGGUUGGUGCCCUUCUUUACUUGAUUCUUGCUUCUUUCCUUCCUUUAACCUGCGCCCUACUAACUUAUGUGUUCUUCAUCUUGUCCCCUACGUGUGCACAUUGGUUUCUUCCCGUUGUGUCCUGCGUCCGCUGUCGCAUGGUUCUGCCAUUGCCAUUGAGGUUAGUCUGCACUCUGUUUGCUUGCAUGCAACAUGUUCGAUGAAAUGUGUGUGUGGUGACCUUUUUUUAUCUCGUUUUGCCUGCUGGUCCGCCUUGGUGUAGUCCUCUAUCUAGCCUGCUUUCUUGGCCUGUUCUGCUUUCUAGCUCUGGUAAUUAGUUGUUGUUUUGCUUGUCUAUAAGAAUGUGCCUACUGUUUUUAUGCCUGUGUGUGCACCGUUAUGCAUGUAGUCUGACAGGUCUAUCCCCGUUUGUCUAGCAGGUUCGACGAUCUACUAGGUUGCUGCAUCUGCAACUCUGUGCUGCUGUUCAAGGUUUGCUUGAUUCUUUCUUCCCUACAUGCUUGUUCUUUCUCGCUACACACAUGCUUCUCUUUCUCUAAGUAUUGUAAUUCUGCUGUGUUGUCUCUAGCUACAUGACCUUUCUUCGUCCGUCUAAUUGUUUAUUGAUGGGCCAUUCAUGUUAUGGUUAUGUGAACUUUAAUAUGUAAUAAUAUAUAUGGUGUUCAAUUUUUUAUUGUUUGUUAGCGCCUAUGAUUUUGCGUUACAGAGUCGUUCGAUGUCCAAGUUUCUAUAUAUAUUUUACAACGUUGCAGUCCAUUACUUGCUUCAAUCCUGGUACACAUUGGAUUGAAAAUAGGUCAUCCAUUUUUAUUGACUUUUUUUGUACAAUGUGAAGUCAUAGCCCCAGUUUAUAUUCAUGUGUAGUUUGCUGUAUAGUUCAUGUAUACCCUGUAAAGAGCAUGUAUAGCUAAUGGGUUUAAUUCUUUUGUUCCUUUUUUAAACGUUCCGUAUGGGUGCAUAUUUUAACUUGAUCCAUACCGUGCCAGUGAUUUUUCUAAGAUUUGCCCAUAUCUUUUGGGGAAAUAAUUAUGCUUUAGGAAGAUGCUAAAUAAGUUGGUCAGCUCUUGGGCAAAAGGUUAGCAAAUCAGCUUGGCUGUUCCUCCCAAGGUGAUGAGAGAUUGCUUGUUGCAGAGUACAUGCCUAGAAAGACAAUCUUUCCCUGUGAGUAUGUUAACUGCUUGUGAGCAGGCCAGUACUUUACAAAUUUUACUACAACAGCAAGGGCGCUAUGCUUUGAAUAGUUGAGCCGCCCUCUGUUUUUUCAUCCAUGGGCAUAGUGGAUGGAGGUGCAGCGGCUCAGGAUGUCAAGGUAGGGAUGGAACCUAUCCUUAUUUCAUAUGUUUCUGUUAUUAUGAUAAGUGACUCAUGUUUCUUCUGUGUAAUGCUAGGAUAAAGUUUGAUUUUCUCUGUACUACUCCAACUUGGUCCUAUCUCUAAAUACAAAAAAUCUAUGUAUCAUUUUAAUUUAGAUUUGAUUAUUAUUAGAAUUAGAUGGUGUGCAUUGAAUAUGGAAAUAGGGCCAGGUACUGCCAUGGCGUAUAUCCUAUUGAGUUUUCAUGGGACCUUGAAGCUAACUGUUGAGCUCUUUGUAGCUUAUAAAAGAUAGUUAUAUCAUUUCACUAAAUGAAUAAUCAGAAAGGUGGGCCGAUAAACCGUAACAUGUGACCUAAAAAUUAUGUACGGUUUGAUAUUGUCCAUUGGGAUCAUCUUCUCUUAACGUUUAAUUAAUGCCACAUCAAUAUUACUCCUAUGAUGUUUAUCUAACAUCUUUCCAUUAUGUUUUUAUUUUUGAGUCAGCAUAAUGAUGGCAAUUUCAGAACUAGAUGUAAAAUGAUGUGUCUGGCUUGUUUAACUUGCAGUCUUUAUUUUUAAUAUUUUCUUUGUUGCUGAGGUUGCUUCUAGGUUUAGUACUGUGGAUCUAAGUUACAUAAUUUGAAAAUAGUCCUAUGUAGGAGUAUGCUCAUCUAUAACAGUUGGGGAGGGAAAUCGUACGAAUUACAGAUUUUGUAAAGAGUUGGCAUUACUAUAUGCAUAAAUCUGAAUUAUUGUUCAUAAUGGAUUCACCACUGCUCUACAUAAGCUACAUUGGCUAUGUAUAUAAGCCGAAAAUUAGUAGCACUACUUCCUGUUUUCUUGCUUGCAAUACCAUGUACUGCCUCUUUACUUUGUUCUCCACGUUGUAAAUUUUGUCUUUCUUUGGAAGUAUAGUUGCCAACUUAUGGUCUACAUUGUGUAUAACCGAAAUGAGUGUAGUUUCCUGAUACCAUUGUCUAUAACCGAAAUGAGUGUAGUUUCGUAAUACCAAAGCAUGUGCGCUCACGUAUUUGUCUCUCUUUUAGUAUGCCGAAUGCAUGAAAAACAUGCACAUGGCCAAAAGUUAAAAAAAGUACGAGCAAUUGGGUUUUCAUUUUUCUCUUAGAAUUGUUCAUGUUCAUGUUGUUGUCAUUUUUUUGAAAUUUAGACAACUCUUUCCGCUUAAUAAUAGUUUACCGAUUUCAGUGCAUCCUAUGUAUGUUUGACUGAUUGGUCGUCCUCCCAUCCAGGCUUACAGCGUUGCAUUUGUGUGUUCCUUUACCCUGUGCUGCUUAUUUUUUGGUUGUGUGAGCCGGUUGUGUGUUGUUGUUUCCAUCCUCAUUUAGUAUGCUGAUGUUUUUUAAGAGGACUUCUAUAUUCCUGGAAACUUAAAUAUUAAUUUAUACAUUUGAGCAGCUGACUAGAUUAAAAAAUAAUUUCUGUAAGAUUGAGGCCAUUUUAUUUGGUAAGGUAGACGAAAAAUAGGAUGAAUAUGCACAUGUUGUUACUGUACAAAGGUUAAACACUGAAUAACACUGAUGGUUCUUUCCUGAGGUUGAGUAGGAGUGUUUUUGUAUAAUAUUGUCUCCGCAAUUGCCUAAAGAAUAGCUAGGUUCUAGAACAAACCUGUUAUGAGUAAUUGCAUUGUGACUUUAGUGAAAAGUUCCUGGGCAUACUAUGUGUUCCUCUGGACUUGGUUGAAAGUAUUUCUUUUGUUAUUCAGUUUCUCACUACGUAUGUUACCUUUGUUGCUGAAUUUUGCCUACAGUUUAUAUAUAGUAGACUCACAUGAUUACCUGAUGCGGAUUCUACAACUCGGAAAACACAUCUAGGAUAUUCAAGUUGUGUGUGGCGCCCCGGAGAAAGCUUGCAACUCCAGUCAGCCACUUACACAAGAAUCCUGAUUCGUCAUUUCAUGUUUGCACUUCUAUUACAGUAGAACAACAUGUCAUAAAUAUGGUGUUGGGCAUUGUUUGUCCAGUUCUCUUAAAAAAAGAAGAGAUGGUAGAGAGUGGAUGCAUCACUGAAAAGACAACAAUGCAUUUUUUUUCAGCUCCUGUAAAAAAUGAAGGAAUUACAAUGCAUCUGAUCUAUAAAGGGGCUAUGAAGGACAAAAUGUUAUGGAUCCAGAGGAGUGGGAGGGGAGAGUUUACCAACAACGCAUCAAGGACAAAGCGUGACGUGGAUUCCUAAGUUCCAAUUAACAUAGCAAAAUUGUAUAGAAAGAAUGCCCACAUUUUGCUAUUACAUAGUUUGAGGCUAUGUUUCUUUUAGUUUUCAUUAUCAAAAGGAUCUUGUCAUUGCCAGAUUGUCAAGCAUUUGUUUUCAAAUAACUCUUGGUUUGAAAUGGGACCUUGCCCCAUUUGGCGCAAUGAGUAAUGUUAUUGUACGUCUUAUUGUAGACAGCAAGCCUCCAUUUUUAUUCUAGACAGCAAGCCUUUGUUCUUUUUUCAUUAAGAGGGGUUAAAUUUGUUAUGCUUGCCCACAACUAAACCUUGAAUUUUCUUUUCAAUGCACAUAUGGAUUUAGCGGGUCUGCUCCAUUUGGCAAUGGCACUCUAAAAAAAGGUUGUGUGAUCAAUUUUAUUCCAUAGGUUCUGGGAGAUCCUUUGUGUAAGUGAUAGCUUGCAAAAAAGUCAUAUAUUUGGUGGCGGAGGGAGUAUUACUUAUCAAUGAUAACAUUGUGAAUGAUAAGUUACAUAGGGGAGAAACUUUAUCACCAAAUGAAGGCUUUGAUAUGCAAAUAAUUCUCUGUUCAAAGUCAAGAUCAUAUACGCCUAAGUUGAGAAAAAUAAUGGCUUAAGUUCUUUGUUUAAAUUGGGCUUUCGCUCCAUUUUGCUUCAAGUUCUCAACCGUUUGAAUCAGGAGAAGAUAAUUGGAACAAGUAUAUUUCUCUCGCCUUCUUACAUCUUGAUAUUAGUAGGCUGAAAAUGACAUUACAUGUUUUAAAAGAAUCGUUCUUAUCUUUAAGCAUUACAAAGAUCGAUACAGACAAUUGUUACAUUAGAAAUAUUUUUUUGCAGAUAACUCUGGGUUUGAAUUGGGACCUUGUGUCAUUUGGUGCAACGGGUAAUUUUUUUCACGGAACUUGCUUAUGAUGUUUAAGUUGGCAUACAUGCCUGCCCACGAACAAGU